rfam:Dipodomys ordii contig_44713, whole genome shotgun sequence.
GGGAAGGUGGCUCAGUGGUAGAGCGCUUGCCUUGCAUGCAUCAGGCCCUGGGUUCAAUUCCUCACCACCACA